rnacentral:rRNA from 1 species
UACGUAGGGUGCAAGCGUUAAUCGGAAUUACUGGGCGUAAAGGGCGCGCAGGCGGCCGCUCAAGUCAGAUGUGAAAGCCCCGGGCUCAACCUGGGAACUGCAUUUGAUACUGAGUGGCUAGAGUUCGGGAGAGGAGAGUGGAAUUCCCAGUGUAGAGGUGAAAUUCGUAGAUAUUGGGAAGAACACCGGUGGCGAAGGCGGCUCUCUGGACCGAUACUGACGCUGAGGCGCGAAAGCGUGGGGAGCAAACAGG